CAUUCCUUUCGCGCAGGCGAAAGACCUAAAGCAGACUACACGCAUCUACACGGAAACACAAGUGCGCUGGGAUUCUAGCCAGUGCACCGAACUGGGUUGUGCAUGAAAUUUCACGGAAUGUUCUCGAGGGUUACCUUCUAUCCCUCGUUAAUCUAUAAUGUCGUCAUGGAGCGUGUGUCAACGAGACGGUGGUAUGACCGCAUCGACGAUACCGUUAUCCUCGGAGCACUGCCUUUCCGGAGCAUCACACCAAAGUUGCUCGAAGAGGAGAACGUGAGAGGGGUCGUGUCAAUGAACGAAGACUUCGAGCUGCGAUAUUGGGUCACGAGUAAGGAAGAGUGGGAGAAGUGUGGCGUCAAGUUUCUCCAGUUGAGCACGACGGACAUCUUUGAGACACCCUGUCAGGAAAAGCUGCAACGCGGAGUACAAUUCAUCCAAAGUUUUGAAGGCACAGGCCACUCUGUCUACGUUCACUGCAAAGCUGGCAGGACACGCAGUGCUACUCUCGUCGGCUGCUACUUGAUGCAGAGGUACCAGUGGACACCACAAAAGACUGUGGAUCUUCUUCGUCAGAAACGGCCACACAUUCUGCUGCACUACGCCCAGUGGGAGGCACUGCACACCUACUUCAACAAAAAUGUUGCCGCUGCGCUGGAAUCAGGAGGCAGGACUAGAAGCUGAAGAACAGCUACAUGAGGUCCCCCACACCAAUACACCCGACAGUACAGCACUGAUUCUUGCGCAGCGGAA
rnacentral:misc_RNA from 1 species